GGGAGUUAUAUGAGUUGUCGCUGCUAACGACAAUUGGAAUAUUAAAUUUAUUCAGCUUCCU
rnacentral:tRNA from 1 species